rnacentral:tRNA from 1 species
GGGUCUGUACGAGGAAUUUUCUUACAAAUCUUCAAGUUACGGCACGGGUUCCACUGACUCAUAAUCCGUUUGUCCAAGGUUCGAGUCCUUGUAGGCCCACCA